AUUGCUCGAGGAAUUGCAACUGCAUCAAGGUAGUGGGCAUUUUCAUUGUGCAGACAGCAAUCUUUGCCACUUAGCUUACAGCGAAAGAAUGGCUCCUUUUUGGAAUUAUAUUGACUGCUCCAUUUUGAAAAAAAAAAAAGAAAGAGUUCAUUACGAAAAGGAAUUAAGCUUCAGAUGGAGAUAAAAAGAGCUACAAAGAAUAGCUUUUGCUACCUCAGUUAACGCUAAGUCGAUAACAGUUUUCCUAUUUUAGGAUGAACAACCUGAGUUAAAUUGCCAAAACCAUAUUUUAAUCAAGAGAAGAUCAAUUUUAUGUUUGAGAAAAACUAUGCAUUGAAAUUUUUUACAUAGAACAAAAUUCAAGCUGUAUAAUGUUGCUGUAAUGU
rnacentral:lncRNA from 1 species